UACGUAGGGACCGAGCGUUGUCCGGAUUCAUUGGGCGUAAAGAGCGUGUAGGCGGCCAUGUAGGUCCGGUGUGAAAACUCGAGGCUUAACCUCGAGAUGUCAUCGGAAACCAUUUGGCUAGAGUCCGGAAGAGGAGAGUGGAAUUCCUGGUGUAGCGGUGAAAUGCGCAGAUAUCAGGAAGAACACCCGUGGCGAAGGCGGCUCUCUGGGACGGUACUGACGCUGAUGCGCGAAAGCUAGGGGAGCGAACGGG
rnacentral:rRNA from 1 species